rnacentral:rRNA from 1 species
UACAUGGGGUGGCAAACGUUGCUCGGAAUUAUUGGGCGUAAAGCGCACGUAGGCGGUCCGUUAAGUCAGAUGUGAAAGCCCCCGGCUCAACCGGGGAAGUGCAUCUGAAACUGGCGGGCUAGAGUACGAAAGAGGGUCGCGGAAUUCCCGGUGAUAGAGGUGAAAUUCGUAGAUAUCGGGAGGAACACGGUGGCGAAGGCGG